rnacentral:rRNA from 1 species
UACCGGAUAUGACUCCGCAUCGCAUGGUGUGGGGUGGAAAGCCUCGUGCGGCUGAGGAUGGGCCCGCGGCCUAUCAGCUUGUUGGUGGGGUAGUGGCCUACCAAGGCGACGACGGGUAGCCGGCCUGAGAGGGCGACCGGCCACACUGGGACUGAGACACGGCCCAGACUCCUACGGGAGGCAGCAGUGGGGAAUAUUGCGCAAUGGGCGAAAGCCUGACGCAGCGACGCCGCGUGAGGGAUGACGGCCUUCGGGUUGUAAACCUCUUUCAGCUCCGACGAAGCCUUCGGGUGACGGUAGGGGCAGAAGAAGCACCGGCCAACUACGUGCCAGCAGCCGCGGUAAUACGUAGGGUGCAAGCGUUGUCCGGAAUUAUUGGGCGUAAAGAGCUCGUAGGCGGUUUGUCGCGUCGACUGUGAAAACUCAGGGGCUCAACUCCGAGCUUGCAGUUGAUACGGGCAGACUAGAGUUCGGCAGGGGAGACUGGAAUUCCUGGUGUAGCGGUGAAAUGCGCAGAUAUCAGGAGGAACACCGGUGGCGAAGGCGGGUCUCUGGGCCGAUACUGACGCUGAGACGCGAAAGCGUGGGGAGCGAACAGGAUUAGAUA